GAAAUUCAAAUUUAAAUGAAAUAAUAAAAGAAACGAUUGGAAACGGAGCUGUUCAUCUUGCAAACUUAAACAAGAACACGAUACUAGUUAAUUGCAAGCCCAUAAUUGGGCCACUUCAAACUGGCACAUCAAUUUUGGUUUUCCUAUCCGCCACCUGGCGCUGGCGGCGGUUCCUCAAACAGCAAAACAGCGCAAACCGACGAGGAGAAGCAGCGCGAUCGGCAGCGCAACGAGCGUGAAGCCAAAAAGGAGGAGCAGGACGCUAUUAACUACAAGAAUCGCUUGAGCGAAUAUGAAGUGAGCCCAAAGAUGAGAUACUACAUACGCACUUCUCGUAAUUAAGCAAAAUAAUGAGCCUAAGGCUGAUGAAUUUAUAGUUAAAAUGCACUUUGCAACAAUUGCAUGUAAACAGCGCGACAAGGAGAACCGAGAGGCACGUUUGCUGGAUUUUGAAAUACGACGCCAGCAAAAGCGUGAGGAGCAGAACCAGCAGCGACAGCAGCAGCACCAGUUACAGCAACACCAACAACACC
rnacentral:sRNA from 1 species